rnacentral:ncRNA from 1 species
GAUUUUCGGGGCGGGGCGAAAUUCCCCACCGGCGGUAAAAGUCCGCGAGCUUAGGCUGAAUUGGUGUAAUUCCAAUACCGACAGUAUAGUCUGGAUGAGAGAAAGU